CGGGAAAAACGGACCCUUCUCCUGGUAAUUGACCUGCAGUCUUAAUUCCUUCCCAGGUGUAACGCCACUUCCACACACAAAACAAUGAACGACUCCCAAACCGUUGCUGCGGUCCACCCUGGAACUGUGGCCGCGCAAUGGGCUCUCAUCGCCGGGCAUGACCGCUGCCAUGGGUCGGUGUUUCCGAGGCUAGACCAACAUCGACGAGAGGGUACCAGGAAGAGAACUCCAUGCAACAAACAUGAACAGCCCUUUCUCAAG
ensembl:lncRNA